rnacentral:misc_RNA from 1 species
AACUUUUAGCAAGGGAUCACUUGGCUCUCGCAUCGAUGAAGAACGCAGCGAAUUGCUAUAAGUAAUGUGAAUUGCAGAUUUUCAGUGAAUCAUCGAAUCUUUGAACGCACCUUACGCUCCUUGGUAUUCCGAUGAGCAUUCCUGUUUGAGUGUCAUUAAAUUCUCAAUCCCUUUCCUUUCAAGAAAGGCUUUGGAUUUGGAGUGUUGCUGGCUUAUUUUGUCAGCUCCUCUUAAAUGCAUUAGCUUGAUACCCUUUGUGGAUAGGCUUUGGUUUGAUAAUAUCUAUGCCAUUGCCGUGAAACAAAUGUCAGCUUCUAACAGACAACUCUUUGAUAUUUUGACCUCAAAUCAGGUAGGACUACCCGCUGAACUUAAGCAUAUCAAUAAGCGGAGGCU